AAAUGAAUUAGCAGAAAGAAUCUUGUGCCUCACAACACAAGAAAUCUAUUAAAUUUGCAAUACCACGGUAUUUCUUAUUCUCAAAGUUGUCAUACCAAGAUAUCUUAUAAAUUUGAUAUUAUCUCUAACAAAGUUUACUAAUGCAACGGCAAUCGUUGCUCCUUCAAAAUCUACAGAACCAUCUGGAAACAUCGACUUUCAAGAUUUAAAUGAAAAAAUUAUAUCCCAAAAGUCGAGAAGCAACAACUGAAAAGCUGGUCAUCAUAAACUAUGAGGAAAAUGAAAGCACCAAAACGCCAAGCACUGUGGAAGCAGGUAAGCGCAAGAUCACUGAUACCAACUUAGAACCAACCAAAUCUUCUAGCAGC
rnacentral:lncRNA from 1 species